UCGGCCAUUCUCGUCUCUAUCGUAGUGUUUGUAAUUGGUUGGAUUAGAGCUAAGAAAAGAUGAAUUAUAUGUAAGACACUGGCUUUAAUUGCUUUGUUAUUGCUGAAAACAAUAAAAUCUAGUGCAUCAAGUAAGCUAAUUGCUAUAGAACGAUCGACUUGAUGUUCACAAGCGUAAACUGGAUUCAAAGAUAUUGAUACUGAAAUAGAAUGAAGGGGUGCUAUUUUGUUAGGACUAGAAUACCUAGGGUCCAACCGCUACGAAACAUUCUUUGUUGCAAAGAACAUAGGUUGUUGCUGUGAUUGUGAUUCAUUCUUACAAGAGGUAAAUUCCUUAACUUCGUGUCCAAGAUAUAGCAAUCACGUCAUGUUCCUGCAACAAAUUUAGGGAAAAAAGAUUUCUUGGAACAUACAGCUAGCGGGCUGAAUCUUAAAACUUAAUGAUCAAUUAAGCAUGUAUUCCUAAUAAGAUAGCUUCGAGAGACCCUUAUUUUCAGCUGUCAACCAAGCAUGAAAUAAAAGUUCAGUUAUAUGAACCGGAAAAGUAAAGGACGUAAUUUGCCACUAGCUUGACAACCUUUUACACAUUCACCAGUGUUUUUGUGGUUUCCAGUUUUUAUUUCCCGAAUUCCUGCUCUUCAUCGCAUCCUCUAGUGUUGGAGUUUUUUUGGAGUGUAUUGAUACUGUAUUCAUCGCAGCUGAUUAACAGAACUUCACUAUCAUUUGUCAAUAUAUGGUAAUAAAUGGCCAAAUAAUGAACAACCAUGUUACAUACAGAUUUAUCAGCUAAAGAAAUGGGAAUAAAAUUCAACUAAAUCUCCCUGUUGAUUAGGAGACACCCCCUUUUUCCAGUAAAUACUGAAAAAGCAUACGACUCAACAGAAACAAUCCACCAAGGGCCAAGUACUAGAAAUUUCUUGUGUGGUGUCUGUGUAUUUGGUCCAUGUAGAGCCCAGACACGUGCAUCACAAGGUGCCAUGUUCUAACCUGCAUAAGAGUUAAAGAGGGGCCGCUAUUAGUUGAAUGACUUGAAAAGAUCGCCACCCUUUUGUGCUGUUAAAAGGGGCCCAUCUUUCUUGAAGCCUUGCAGCUAGAGAGCUGUUGAAAAGCUGAGGAAGGUUGAACGAAAAAGCUCCGAUAAGAUAGCCCCAUGGCGUGGUUUGCAUUUACAUACAGGGUGUUCGUUAUCGCGGUUUAAUCAAAUAUUUAAUUUGAAGAAAUAAUAAUAAAAAAAUUAUUUUUAUAAAUUUCUAAACAAAAAAUAUUUUAAAAAUUAAUCUUUAUCACGCUAAAAAACACAUAAUCUAGAAAUUGUACCGAGAACUGUGAUAUGUCAAUUCAGAUUUUCAUCAUCGAACUUCUUGUGUAUUUUAAAUGGUAUUAAGGUUAAGAAGAGAGGAGAUUUUCCUUUUGAAACUCGAUAAAUUUAGGUCACUAUAGUAGUGAAGUAGACUGAUCAUUCAGAAACCAAAGUUUUUUACAACUGCAAAAUAUGGAUUUCAGCUCUACCAAGGAAGGACAAAAAUAGCUUUUAGAAAUUAAACCUCAAGAGUUAUGACAGCCACCAACCUGUAAGGAGGACCAGUAUCGUGGUGGCCACUCUGCUAUUUUCUCUAGUUGCUAGUCCAAUCUGCUGUAUUCAGGAUGUAAACCUUCACCAACCAUGCCUGUGCUAUAUGAAUGAAUUGUAAGGUAGUGAUGGGUUGUUAAAGAAAUUUCCUUUUAGAAAACAUCGAUAAAGAAAAUUAUUGGAGAGGAAUGACAAGAUUUAAGGCUUCAGCAAUCUAUUAUAUUGGGCUAGACCCAGCUGUUUACAGUAGAGAAGAAAUGGCAAUCAGAUGUACACAGUUGAAUCAAGUAAUUAUCAGUGCCCAGAAUUAGGCGACGAUUGAUAGGUUUUACAGCCAUUACUGAUCCUCUCCAAAUUCUGCUAGGUUUCCCCAAGGUUAUACAUGGGCUAACCAGAUUGGUGGAUCAAUUAUUUUGCCGACAAAUACCUAACACCUGACAGGCUACGUGCGGCUAGAAAUUCAAGUGUUUGAAGCAGUGAGAGCAAGUCUUGAAUGACACUAAAAUUUGAGCCCAUGGGCUAGUAAAAUAGAGUACACAACUGCUCUAGUUUAUCAGGGAGAUAUGGGGUGGUUGUAAAUAGAGCAGAACGAGGUAUAAAUGGCAUCCUAGAGAUCCGAUAAAGUUAAUUUCUCCUUUAACACGGAGCUGUGACCUUUUGCGUUCUUGCUCUGUAAUAUUUGCUGGAAAGAAGAUCAAUUUCGCAUGCAAAGGGAAGGACAGGAUGGGGAAAAAGGAUGCAAAUCAGAGAGCGAAUAUAGAAGACAGGAAGGGAUAAGAGGUGGGGUAGGAAAGAAUAAGAGGUGUGGUGGGAGCUUUCGUUUCGUAGU
rnacentral:lncRNA from 1 species